UACAUGGGGUGCAAACGUUGCUCGGAAUUAUUGGGCGUAAAGCGCACGUAGGCGGUUUGUUAAGUCGGAUGUGAAAUCCCUCGGCUCAACUGAGGAAGUGCAUCCGAAACUGGCAAGCUUGAGUACGAAAGAGGGUCGCGGAAUUCCCGGUGUAGAGGUGAAAUUCGUAGAUAUCGGGAGGAACACCAGUGGCGAAGGCGGGUCUCUGGGCCGAAAAUUGACGUAGGAGG
rnacentral:rRNA from 1 species